GCCCCGAUAGCUCAGCUGGUAGAGCACGUCAUUCGUAAUGAUGGGGUCGGCGGUUCGAUUCCGUCUCGGGGCACCA
rnacentral:tRNA from 14 species